AAGGCUGCGCGCCGUGGGCCCUAGCUGGAGGUAUCACCCCGCCCUCCGCAGUGGGCCUAGCCUGAGAAGGAAUUCCCAACUGGAGAACUCUUGGCUGUCCUACCAUCAGCUCUGCCUUGCAUGACAGUUAUCAACUUUCCUCAGAUCAAGAGUUGGCAGCUCAUAGAGAGAUCAUCUGACCCUGCCCACCUGUGAAUAGAAGAGAUUAACACACCCUUUCCGAAGACUGGCCCUUCCGGGAGAUGUUUUGCAGGACUGAAGACCCUUUCACUUUACUUCCCCUUUACCUCUCCCUCUCUGUUCUGCCUUUUGACUUCAGUUUCUCGUUGGCUCUCUCUGGCUCUGUAAGAGAACCUAGUUUCCAGACAUGGACAAGAUGGUUACUUCGAGAUGCCAUCUUCUCGGUCAGCAAUCUUUCUGAAUAAAGU
ensembl:lncRNA